CACGUAGGGCGCAAGCGUUGUCCGGAAUUAUUGGGCGUAAAGAGCUCGUAGGCGGUCUGUUGCGUCUGCUGUGAAAACCCGGGGCUUAACCCCUGGCUUGCAGUGGAUACGGACAGACUAGAGGUAGGUAGGGGAGAAUGGAAUUCCCGGUGUAGCGGUGAAAUGCGCAGAUAUCGGGAGGAACACCGGUGGCGAAGGCGGUUCUCUGGGCCUUACCUGACGCUGAGGAGCGAAAGCGUGGGGAGCAAACAGGAU
rnacentral:rRNA from 1 species